AUGUUUAUGUGUGUAUAUGUGUAACUGUGUGUGCAUAAUUAGGAGGUUGUUUAAUCAACUUUAUGAAGGUUGAGAUCUUGAGUACUUUUAAUGUUCACUUUGAUGCCUUUUUUAAAAUGUUCCCCUUUCUUCACAUGUGCCAUUGAGAAGGUAAAUAGACCUUCUUGACCAACAAACCAAGAAUCAUUUUAACAAAAUCUACACUGGAGCAGCCUGACUUUUUCUUCUGACCUGUAAUUUCCUAAGAUCGCCCGUCCAAUUUGAAGCCGGAAAGGAACUGGAAAGAGAAGUCUUACAAGCUAUUUGUCUUCUUGGCUUUCUCCUUUUCAUCCUCACCUACACCUAGUUAACAGACACUGAGCACCUGCCUCCACAGAGCAGGAGAGCACGACGGAGUGGUCUGAGCGUCUGAGAUACAUUGUGUAGCAGCUGGAGGUUUUGGAAAGGGGAAGGAGCCAGACGAGCUCAAGUGCUGGUUACACUGAUAGGAAAAGAGCAUUGAAGAGGAAUCUCAAAAAAGAAGAGUGCAGAAAUGUUUAAUUCGAUGAAUCAGAGGGAAAGAACAUGGAUCUUUAGCAGUUAAAGAACAAAUUAAGAUUGCAGAUUUGGGAUAUUGAUGUUUCCACUUUUGAGGACAUUUCCUUUCUUGCGUUGAAUCUUUUCAUUUUUUUUAAAAUCAUCUGUCUUGGAACACAGAGGAGGAACCAGAAAUAUACUUAUUUUGUUUCAUACCUGGAACACUCAUCCCUGAGAAACUCCAACAACAACCACACAGCCAUGUGGCCAUUACAGCUCCUGACCUUCACGAUGCUCUCAGCACCAGUAGUUCAUGGUAAGGUCUUUCAUUCAGCUUUUGUGUGAUGUCCUGCGUUGUCUCACGUGUUCGUACCUCGG
rnacentral:lncRNA from 1 species